CUAUUCUCCACCACCCGCUCCUUCGACCCUCUUUGAGUCUAGCCUUCUUCUGUCUCACUCCAAGAUCCCUCUCUGGGCCCAUCCACAUCACAGCCUCCGUUGGGUCACCUGCCUCUUUGGCGUCCACUGAGCCCUUUGGCUUUCUCUGCAGGCUGGAGACAUUCCACACAAACCAGGACCUAAAAAUAAGGAGGUAGGAAGACUGCGGUUGUUGACCAUUUGGCAAAGGCUUCUCGGGGGCCUGUCGAAACCAAUCUAGAACGAUCCGUGAUGAGACAUGAAGUGCCUGACGAUGCCCAUGUAGCAGUGAUACCAGCCAGUCACCAGUAGACCUGGGGGCCUGGUGGUGACUUUCCUUUCAGAGAGACUGCCGCCCAGGGGACAGUUCAGACAGAAACACACCGAGAGCAAGACCUCCUGGCCACUGGCCUGCCUGGAAACAGAGAGAGCAGCCUGCACGACUGGGCACCAGGGCAAGGCCCCAGCACAGUCCUGCAUGGCGGGCAGGUGGGCAGC
rnacentral:lncRNA from 1 species